rnacentral:miRNA from 1 species
GACUGGGACUAGGUGAUUUGGGGGCGGGGCGGAGGAAGCAAGCCUAGGCUUGUGUCCUUCCUCCGCCCCGCCCCCAAAUCACCUAGUCCCAGUCUUU